GGGAGCUGCAGCCUGUCAGAACCAGCAUCUCCAAGGAGAGGGUGGGGGAAAUUUUUUGCAGGCAAAAAUCUCAGCAUUUUGUGAUCAAGUAUAUCUGAUGUAUUAAUGCAUUAAUUCAGGGAAACCCUCAAUGCUCUGCAAAAGAUGAACUGUAAACGUACUUACUGUUUUUGUGCCUCUUCCCCCAUUUUCUUUCAGAGAACAUGAAGACCAGAAGGACUGUUGUGGGAUAGUUUCCUAUCCUUCUUAGCCUUACCAUAAAGCAAGGUGGGAAUCGGGCUUGUUCUUCCUUGUUUUGGCAGAAAAUAGAAGAACAGCAAGAUUCUUCUUAAAUCUUUCGCAAGGGGACUUCUUUUUCCCAAGGCUGUGUUAGGAGUUUGAACUGGAUAGAUGAUAACAAAUCUAAAAAGGACAAUGGAUACCUGCUCAACCUAUGUCUCGUAAAAUAUUGCAUAACUCUAGAAACGUAAGGAAAUACGUAGCUAACAUUUUCUAAGAUAACAAGGGGAAGACAACAAUAGAAAAAAAUACAGCUUUUAGGCUUUAAACUUAGAGGGGGGAAAAAAGAAGCAUGAAAAUACAUAAAUACUUUUCUUUUUUUGCAAUGUCCCUGUGAGACAAGGCUCAAAUUUAUUAUUAAACUGUGUACAUCUAUCGAAACAGAACCAGAAUUGGAUGCAAACAAACAAGAUUUUAUUUGGAUAGUGUCAGAGCAGCAGAUUGUCUAGCACUUUUUAGCUUUAUGCAGGGGUUUGAGCUAUCUUAAAUUGUAUCAUUCCUUGAAGUUUCUAACACAAUUAAUGAUGCAGAGAAAUCUAUCUUUAAAUGCUUUUGUUAAAUGGGGACAAAAGAUUGAGCUUUGACAUUUUUAUUAAAUCCCAAUAAUCUUUCUUUGUCUCAGAGGGUGAAGAGGAAGUGCAUUAAUUUUCACAUGAAGACAAGUUGUACAAACACAGCUGAAAACGUCAGAAAACCCAGGCAUUUUUCUCAGAGAAAUGGAAUCGAUGAAUGUUCUACUGAAAAGACUCCUAAAUAAUUGGGAAGAUGUUGAUCCAUUAACCAAGCUUGGAAGAAGGAGUAUGCAGUUCAAAGGUCAAAUGUAUGAAAGCAAAGUCUGCUUGAUGUACCAAGAGCUCUUUGUAAAUUUGAUUCUAACUUGA
rnacentral:lncRNA from 1 species